UGGUGAAAUACAAAUCGGACUAGGAUAUAGCUGGUUUUCUGCGAAAAUUGUUUUGGCAAAUUGUUUAUUCCUCUCAAAAAUAGUAGGUAUAGCACUGAAUAUCUCGAGGGAGUAUGAAAAUAUUUAUCUCAGAUAUUUAAUCUCAAAAUAACUAUUUCUUAAAAUAAAUAAUCAGACUAUGUGCGAUAAGGUAGAUAGUCGAAAGGGAAACAGCCCAGAACAGUAAUUAAAGCUCCCCAAUUAAUAUUAAGUGAAAUA
rnacentral:rRNA from 1 species